rnacentral:lncRNA from 1 species
AGCUUGAAUAAACUCCAAUAGAUAGUGAAGGACAAGGAAUCCUGGCAUGCUGCAGUCCACGGGGUGGCAAAGAGUUGGACAUGACUAUGCUGAACAACAAAUGUGGAGAGAAAAGGACUGUCCCCUGCCUCCACCCCCCCAUUUAUAUCAUAUGAGAACAUAAUGGGAAGUGGCUCUAAAAACUACGAAGAGUGACGUCACCAGACAUUAGAUCUGCUGGUACCUUGACUUUGGACUUUUCAGCCAGUCUCCA